AAUAAGUGCAGCUAUGGGUUUCAGUGUCCAACUUUGAUUGAUCGUCUUAUUUAAAAAAAAUUUAUGAUUAGUAUUUUUGUUGUUAUUAGAUUAUAAAACAUGAAUAUUAUUUUAUGUUUGACUUAUGUUUUUUAUUUUUUAAAAAAAAUUAAAUAAGAUGGACGAAUAAAGUUAGAAACGGAAACUCAUGAUUGCGCUUAUU
rfam:Oryza sativa Japonica Group DNA, chromosome 10, cultivar: Nipponbare, complete sequence.